GACCAUGAAAAUCCAUAGCAGAUAGUUUUGUGUGAUUAUAAGGUUUAUAGCGGGGAACAUCCAUUCUGUAAAGAGAGCCGUAGACCAAAUUAUCAGCAUCUCCAUGAGAAUCAAAGUAAUAAUCUUUAGCAGGUUUAGUAUGGGAAUCGGCCCAAGCCCUAACAUUCGACUUUCUGAAACCGACAUGAACAUCAGCAUCCUCACCUCUGGAUCUCUUCCUCCUAUUUUUCUUUUUCUUGUAGGGUUUUUCCUUUCUCUUCUUCGUCUUUCUCUCACUACCACUAUCAACAUCAGAAUCGGAAUGAGAAUAUACUUCAUCUUCUUCUUCAAGUAACUCAUAAGAAGCGGAUGAUGGUGGCGGCUUUAGUUGGGGCCUUUGUGGACUUGAAUCAUCUUCUUCUUGGUCUGAUUCUGUUCGGGUGUGGUCCUUUUGGAGAGAGGAAACCGUAUCGUUAAUGACAGAGAGGUUGGUGAUGAAGCUGGCGUUGCAAAGCCACUCGGGGGGAGAAACGGUGGUAGUGGUGGCGGCGGUGGUCGAGGAAAUUUGCUGAGUGCCGGUGGAGGCCGCAAACAAAGGGAACAGAGAGGUGUUUUCAUUCGUCGCUGCUGCUUCUUUCUCCAUUGCAACCCGCAAAU
rnacentral:misc_RNA from 1 species